CCCAGAGACUUUUGCGCUUGUCCGUGCAAACAGGCAGAAAAACCAAUGUCUACUAUUUCAGACUCGUUCGAUGACUCAGUUCCUCAAUCUGAGUCAAAUCGCUCAUUCGAAGAAGAUAACGGUGGUUACGCCGACUACAACUCCCAACAAUUCGACUCUUUCUCCGGCGGAGAUGAAGUUUUCGAGUCGCAUCAGCCGGUGUACGGAGUCGGCGGAGAGUUUAAGCCGGAGGAGAAUGGAAAGGGAUUCGAUGGAGAGUUUGGCGGAUCGGACGGUCCGAUUUUGCCGCCUUC
rnacentral:misc_RNA from 1 species